rnacentral:rRNA from 1 species
UCAACCCUACGGAGGCAGCAGUGAGGAAUAUUGGUCAAUGGCCGCAGGGCUGAACCAGCCAAGUCGCGUGAGGGAUGACGGUCCUAUGGAUUGUAAACCUCUUUUGUCAGGGAGCAAAGGGCGCCACGUGUGGCGUUUUGCGAGUACCUGAAGAAAAAGCAUCGGCUAACUCCGUGCCAGCAGCGGCGGUAAUACGGAGGGUCCGGGAGUUAUCCGGAUUUAUUGGGGUUAAAGGGAGCGUAGACCGGCUUUUAAGUCAGCUGUGAAAGUCCGCGGCUCAAACGUGGAAUUGCAGUUGAAACUGG